rnacentral:rRNA from 1 species
CCUACGGGUGGCAGCAGUGAGGAAUAUUGGUCAAUGGACGCAAGUCUGAACCAGCCAUGCCGCGUGCAGGAAGACGGCUCUAUGAGUUGUAAACUGCUUUUGUACGAGGGUAAACGCAGAUACGCGUAUCUGUCUGAAAGUAUCGUACGAAUAAGGAUCGGCUAACUCCGUGCCAGCAGCCGCGGUAAUACGGAGGAUUCAAGCGUUAUCCGGAUUUAUUGGGUUUAAAGGGUGCGUAGGCGGUCGGAUAAGUUAGAGGUGAAAUCCCGAGGCUCAACUUCGGAAUUGCCUCUGAUACUGUUCGGCUAGAGAGUAGAUGCGGUAGGCGGAAUGUAUGGUGUAGCGGUGAAAUGCUUAGAGAUCAUACAGAACACCGAUUGCGAAGGCAGCUUACCAGGCUACUUCUGACGUUGAGGCACGAAAGCGUGGGGAGCGAACAGGAUUAGAUACCCCAGUAGUC